UCUGUGAUACGACAAGAGUCCAACAAGUAAGCUCCUGGGACUGCAUGUUGGUUCCUCCCAGGACUGGCCCUUACCCUGGGGGUAUAAAUCCAGCUCUGCCCUGCCCAGCAGCCACUGAGCAAGGUUUGCAGUCCCAGGUUCCCCACUCACCCCACACGACCGCAGCUUUACGGCGACGAAGCUAAAGAUGAACAAGCUCUUGGUUCUCGGCUUCUCUGCCCUGCUCUGCUGUGUCUCAGCUGAAGCCCUUCGAUGUACCGUUUGCCAAAACAAAAUACCCGUCUUCGGCUGCAUCAAAGGAUUGGGCAUCUGCCACCCUGCGCCAGGGCUACCCUGCAAAUACAUCAGAGUCUAUACCACAGGCAUCCAGUUUCAUUCACAGGCAGAUUGUGCUGUGCAAGGCGACAAAUGCAACAUCAUGGAGCCAACGAAGUCUGGCCACCGCCAAAUUUCCUGCUGCAAGACUGACUUCUGCAACAGUUAGAACUACCAACAGCACCAAUGUGGAUCUCCACCUCAUGGAAUUGUGGGGCCUGUGUCCAUGCUAUAGGGAUCCCAAGCCCUUCUCUCAUCCCCCAUCUCAGGCUUCAAGAUGCCUCCACAAUCCAAGACCACCACUUAGGACCUCACUGCCUUUAUCGUGCUAAUUUGACGCAUCCAAAAUUAUCCUCAGUGUGAAAACUCUUGCCAUACAUGGCACUAACAGGCUCCCUGCCAGACUGACUCAGCCACAAUAAAGGCCCUCACAGCUGGGAGCUCA
rnacentral:lncRNA from 1 species